rnacentral:rRNA from 1 species
AGUGUAGGCGGCUUCGUAAGUCGGAUGUGAAAGCCCUGGGCUUAACCUGGGAAUGCCAUUCGAUACUGCGCGGCUAGAGUUUGAUAGAGGGAAGUGGAAUUCCAGGUGUAGCGGUGAAAUGCGUAGAUAUCUGGAGGAACAUCAGUGGCGGAGGCGGCUUCCUGGAUCAAAACUGACGCUGAGGCUCGAAAGCGUGGGGAGCAAACA